AACGUAGGAGACAAACGUUAUCCGGAGUUACUGGGCGUAAAGGGCGUGUAGGUGGUUUCGUAAGUCUGGCGUGAAAUUUUUCGGCUUAACCGGGAAAGGUCGUCGGAUACUGCGGGACUAGAGGACGGUAGAGGCGUGUGGAAUUCCGGGUGUAGUGGUGAAAUGCGUAGAGAUCCGGAGGAACACCAGUGGCGAAGGCGACACGCUGGGCCGUACCUGACGCUGAGGAGCGAAAGCGUGGGGAGCGAACAGG
rnacentral:rRNA from 1 species